GUUGCUUUCUGGCUGUUUGCAGUGAUUGUAAAACAUCAGGUUAAAACAAUAUCAAGUCUUGAGAAUGAAUUGGAAAAUCUCAGUACACUUUUAUUCUGAGAGGAUCACUAUUGAUGGCUUGGAGUAGGGCUACAAAGUUGGAGGAUAAGAAUAUGGAGAGAGCUUGUCAACUAAUGAAGCUACAAUACUUUGACACUCUGUGUGUGGACUUUGUGGGCUUUCUUUUUAAGAGACCCUGCAGCCACGAAACAAAGAAACCUCAAAAGAACACAUUUAAAAGAAGGCUGUCAGCCAGCCAAUGCACAGAAAAAAAGCAAACCGUGCAAACAGGAACAAAAAAACACGCAAAGUCUGGCUGUGGGCCUGACUGCAGCUAAGAAGAUUGUAGUCCAGCGUUGGAAACAUCCCCAUGAUAUUUCAGAUACUCACUGGCUUUGGAGCUUUCUGGACAUUUCUUACCUGGAACUUUCAUCAGCAAGAGUAAAUAAUGCAUGACCAAACACAGUCUUAAUGUGGACAAAUUUGAUUUCUAACUUAAAAGGUCUUUUGUUAAAAUAGGAAUGCUUUA